CGAACAUGCACUGCGCACAACACACAACACAUGCACACAACAGACAAAAGACAACACACACAACACAUACAACACAAAUACAACACACAACACAUACAACACAAACACAACAGACAACACAAACAACAUACAACACAUACACACAACACACACAACAGACCACACACAAUAUACAACACACACUACAAACAAGCACAAUAUACUAGACACAAUACACAACACAUAUACAACACACAAUACACAACACACACUACAGACAACUUACACACACCACAUAACAUACAAUAUACAACACAACACACACACAACAAACCACGCACGCCACAANNNNNNNNNNACAACAUACCACACAACACACAAUAUACAACAUACACAACACACAACACACACCACAUACCACACACAACAUGCAACACAUACCACACACAACACAUACAAAUGCAUACCACAUACCACACACAUACAAACACAUGCCACAUACCACACAAACCACACAGCGCACACCACAUACACAACACACAACACAAACCACACACUGCACACACCACACAAACACAUUACACAAAC
rnacentral:lncRNA from 1 species